GCCGGUGUAGCUCAGCGGUAGAGCAUUCGAUUUGUAAUCGAAUGGUCGUCGGUUCAAUCCCGACCACCGGCUCCA
rnacentral:tRNA from 1 species